UACGAAGGGGGCUAGCGUUGUUCGGAAUUACUGGGCGUAAAGCGCACGUAGGCGGAUUUGUAAGUAGGGGGUGAAAUCCCCGGGCUCAACCCGGGAACUGCCUUCUAGACUGCAAGUCUUGAGAUCAGGAGAGGCAAGCGGAAUUCCGAGUGUAGAGGUGAAAUUCGUAGAUAUUCGGAGGAACACCAGUGGCGAAGGCGGCUUGCUGGACUGAUACUGACGCUGAGGUGCGAAAGCGUGGGGAGCAAAC
rnacentral:rRNA from 1 species